rnacentral:rRNA from 1 species
UGUAUGACUCUCGGCAACAGAUAUCUCGACUCUCAUGUCGAUAAAUAACAUAGCAAAAUAUUAUACUUUGUGUGAAUUGUAGAAUCCCGUGAACCAUUGAGUCUUUGAACGCAAGUUUCACCUGAGGCCUUUCGGUCGAGGGCACGCCUGUCUGGGCAUCACGCC